rnacentral:rRNA from 1 species
CGGACGGGUGAGUAUGUCUGGGAAACUGCCCGAUGGAGGGGGAUAACUACUGGAAACGGUAGCUAAUACCGCAUAACGUCGCAAGACCAAAGAGGGGGACCUUCGGGCCUCUUGCCAUCGGAUGUGCCCAGAUGGGAUUAGCUAGUAGGUGGGGUAACGGCUCACCUAGGCGACGAUCCCUAGCUGGUCUGAGAGGAUGACCAGCCACACUGGAACUGAGACACGGUCCAG